rnacentral:lncRNA from 1 species
GUUGCUUUGGGACGGUGGCAGCAGUAGAGUUCUGGGGUGAAGGUGAAGUGACCUCUCUUCCUUCUGGGAAAAAAAAUUCUGCUCCACGAACAUCAGCUGAUUGUCUGUCUUUAACUGAAGAAACGCCAACAAACAAGUGAUUCUAUUUUAUUUAAGACAGAAUGAACUGUUGCAUCAGAAGCCUAGCAAUAGGGUCAUGGCAGUCCUGAAGAGUUUGGUUUUUUUUAAAUCAUUUUUCAAUGUGAAUUAUUCUGAAAAUAUCAUAAUGGACAAAACCUUUUUUACAAGAUCAGUUUAUCUUUCAUGGAAACUAAAUCAGAACUAGAGUUCGAAUAAUUACGUUGUUUCAAUUCACUUGACAAGUGGACCUAAAACAGUAUAACACAUGAGGCCAACGACUAGCAUCAUGCUCCAGCAGAAUAACAACAACAACUACCCAUGCCUCAACGGGUUGGAUUCCACACCGGAAAUGUUACAGAAGUGCUCCAGAACCUCUCUGCCCUUCUCCAGAGCACUGGAGCUCGGGCUGGCAGACCUGCCUCUAAUCAGGGGACUGAGAGCCUGGGCCCUUUGUUCCAAAAAUCGCCGGAAAGCUGGUGGUGUCCUCGCAGGAGGCCAAGCACCCAUUUCUUCCCCUGCACGCCACAGGAGCUCCACUGCCUGCCCCAGAGCGGCAGAUGUGUACCUGAGCAGGGAGUGGGGUCACAUGGCAUAUGGGCUUCCUUUUGGGCCAGAUGCAGGGCAGGCUGGGAUCAGAGCUUUAGUAACGGUUGCCUCACUAAAGACUUCAGAGGGCAGUGGGAAGACACAAACUCAGUGUCUGUUUCUCCAGACCGAAAAGGGGAGCUGUUUGUACUCUGCUGGGAAACCUGUUUCUGGUGGUAGUGCAGCUUCAAGUGUCGUUGGGGGAUGGCUGAAAGGGAAAACGGGAGCAAAGGGAUGCAGAGAGAUCCCGGUCAGACAGAGAGACCAAGGGCCAACUUCUGUUUCAGAAAGCAGAGCAAACAACGUUAGAGUGCGAUCCGGCCGCAGAUGGAGGAAGUCCUGUAAAGCUGCAAGCAAGGAGAAAAAAGAUGUAAACAGAGAUGGCCAACAGAGGUGGAGAGAGGACCCUGAUGCAGAAGUCACACUGGAUGAAAGGCAGGAAGAGGAACACAAUGGUUGCGUGGAAGGGAAACAGUUCCCCAACCCCCUGCAUGUCAGGAGAGUCAGACAGGAGAAAGAGGAAGUAUUGCAAAGUCCAAUAUGCUUCCAUGAUGUUUCUGCUAAUGGCUGUAUUGAGUGUGGCAGGAAAGCUCAGAGGGGAGAUAGUCCAACAAGAAGCACUUCAAACAGACAAAAGAGUGAUACACACCCACAAAGGAAGGAUAGUGAGGAGGAGAAGAGAGUCAUCUGUGAGUUAGAGUCAUCUGUUUUCCAAGUAUUGAGCUCUGACCCUGACCUAGAAACUAACAAACUUCAGCCAGAAUCCAACAGAAACUCUGAUAUUACAAAGUUCGCACGUGCCAAGAGUGAAGAGGAGCUGAAUACACAAAAUGAUGGCUGUUCAGGGAAAGAGGAUCCAGACCCUGAGGUUAUAAAGGCACAUACCGACCAGUCCUCUGAGCAGGUGAGAGGAGACUUCGCAUUGAGUUCUAACACAGAGGAAAACCUCAUUAAUGAGGAAAGAACAGAGGAAGGCAUGAUGGGUCUGGAUGCUACUGAAGAAAAGGAGAAAAUAACCCAGAUUUCAGCAGAAUUUUUAGUUGUAUCUGGCUGCUCUGAGGACGUCUCUGUCUCUAACCCCCCUCUGUACAUCAGAGAUGACCUCUCCCCCAUAGACGUUCCUCUAGAGGGCAGCAUCCACAAUGUUCUCUCUGAAGGCCUUGUUCAGAGUGAUCAAGAGAGUGGAACACAAUGUCUCGAAAAAUGUGAACAAGGACUUGCAGAACAUCAGAUAAGGGGAAAAGAAGAACUGAACAUUACCAAGUUUGAUAAACAAGAACAAAACUCCGCAGCUGUGCAGGACAACACUGUGACCAAGAUAGCAGAACCUUUGCUUUUCUCUGGCAGUAAUCAAAACAGCAGUCUGCAAGAGGACAGCAGUGAUUCCGUUGAAGCCAUCUUAAAGACAGAGAGUGCUCUCACAGCAACAAACAGACACAACCUCAGUACAACUGCGUGCAGUGGAAAAGUGCAUCAAAUGGCACCGGAAGAGAAAGAAGAUUACCACAGAGAAAGUCCUGAUAAAGUAGGUGAAGAUGGGGUGAUUUGGAGGGGCCACACACCCGAUAAGUUGAAUGUUUCCGGCGGUAGAGGAAACGAUGUGGGAGAAUAUGCUAUUUAUGACUUAGAGGAAAAUGGCAUACGGGAGGAUAAUGCCAAAGACGUCACAGAAAACUGUGCACUUCGAGACAACUGGAGGUCACCUGUGUCUGCAGAGCAAUGCAGGAUAAAUGAGGAGACUCCAGGUACCUGUGGACAAACGAGCAGGAUCAAGGUUGGAGCAAAUUCAGAGAUUAGUGCUAAUGUCAGUCACGCUGCCUACACCGAUCUCUCCACCUCUCUCACACUCUCCCGGGCUAAUCCUGCCCACUUUCUGCCCCUCUUGGAAUCCAUGACAACUGACCUUCCCCUUCUGGAGGUGAAAAAGGAGGAGGAGGGGGAACGAGUCGGACUGUUGCUCCGAGAAGAAAGCCAGGAAGGCAAAAGCAGUCCCAGACGAGAACUGGAGGAGCCGGGUGAGGAGAAGAGGGGCUACACUGUGGCCUCUGAGCAAGAGAGCAAAGAUGAAGAGGAGGAAGAGGAAGAGGAAGAUGAGUUUGGGAUCUUUAUGCAAGCAGAGGGAGAGUCUGCCUGGAGCGAGGGAUUGACCAUGCCUGCCUCAGUGCCUUGCAGGAGUAGAGAAAGUGUUGAACUUGGAAACCAUGCCAUCUGCGAGGAUCCGGUACGUUGGACAGCGGACUCUGAGGAUCACCUGUUCCAACAGUCAGACAAUACCUGGACGGCUUUUACUCAGGAUUCAUCAGCUCAACGUCAGGAUGUUAUGGGACAAUGGUGGCCAACGAGCGCCGUGGAGGAGAGAGUCGUCACAAAUCAGAAUGUGGUGGCUGUCUUUGCUGAGGCUUUCCCCUCUCUGCCCGGUUCCUCUUCCAGCGACCCCUGUGACCUUGGCGCUGUUUCUACACUGACCCAGAUCCUCCGAGAAAAAGCCAGCCAGGAAAAAGGGCUGUUGGACAGUUUCCAUGACUUGAACAAGAUCAUUUGCCAGAGAUUCACGAAAGCUAAUGGCAUCUCUCGAGAGCUGCUGCUGAAGACUUUACAGCUGGAGCAGCAUCGAACAGAAGGUCUACCUACUGUUUGGACAGCCAAUCGCAGACUCUCCCCUGGCCUCCCAACAGCCCAUCAACACACUCACAAUGCUGCUGCUAAGCGCCGCCUGUCAUAUGACUACAACAGAAACAUCAUGGUGUAG